GUAGGGUGCGAGCGUUAAUCGGAAUUACUGGGCGUAAAGCGUGCGCAGGCGGUUUUGUAAGUCAGAUGUGAAAUCCCCGGGCUCAACCUGGGAACUGCAUUUGAGACUGCAAGGCUAGAGUGUGGCAGAGGGGGGUAGAAUUCCACGUGUAGCAGUGAAAUGCGUAGAGAUGUGGAGGAAUACCGAUGGCGAAGGCAGCCCCCUGGGCCAAUACUGACGCUCAUGCACGAAAGCGUGGGGAGCAAAC
rnacentral:rRNA from 1 species